rnacentral:piRNA from 1 species
UGAGAUCUGGUGGUUUAAAUGUGUGUGU